UACGGAGGGUGCAAGCGUUAUCCGGAUUCACUGGGCUUAAAGGGUGCGUAGGCGGGCAGGUAAGUCCGUGGUGAAAUCUCUGAGCUUAACUCAGAAACUGCCAUGGAUACUAUUUGUCUUGAAUAUUGUGGAGGUAAGCGGAAUAUGUCAUGUAGCGGUGAAAUGCUUAGAUAUGACAUAGAACACCCAUUGCGAAGGCAGCUUACUACACAAUGAUUGACGCUGAGGCACGAAAGCGUGGGGAUCAAACAGG
rnacentral:rRNA from 1 species